CUCGGGGUGGCCAAGUUGGCUAAGGCGCGGGACUGUAAUGUUAAAUUGAAAUCCUGAGAUCGGGUGUUCGAAUCACCCUUCCGAGA
rfam:Babjeviella inositovora NRRL Y-12698 unplaced genomic scaffold BABINscaffold_2, whole genome shotgun sequence.